rnacentral:rRNA from 1 species
UACGUAGGGUGCAAGCGUUUGUCCGGAAUUAUUUGAGCGUAAAGAGCUCGUAGGCGGCCUGUCAAGUCGGGUGUGAAAACUCCAGCUCAACCUGGAGACGCCACUCGAGACUGUCAUGGCUAGAGUCCGGUAGGGGAUCACGGAAUUCCUGGUGUAGCGGUGAAAUGCGCAGAUAUCAGGAGGAACACCGGUGGCGAAGGCGGAUCUCUGGGCCAUUACUGACGCUGAGGAGCGAAAGCGUGGGGAGCGAACAGG